ACGCUCGACACCUACGGAGGCAGCAGUGGGGAAUAUUGCACAAUGGGGGAAACCCUGAUGCAGCAACGCCGCGUGAGUGAAGAAGUAUUUCGGUAUGUAAAGCUCUAUCAGCAGGGAAGAUAAUGACGGUACCUGACUAAGAAGCUCCGGCUAAAUAUGCGCCAGCACGCCGGACGGUAAUCUGGACGGGCCGGGCGUGGACGAAGGC
rnacentral:rRNA from 1 species